CCCUUAGAUGUCCUGGGCCGCACGCGCGUUACACUGAUGCAUUCAACGAGCUUAUAACCUUGGCCGAGAGGCCUGGGCAAUCUUGUUAACGAGCAUCGUGAUAGGGAUAGAUUAUUGAAAUUAUUAAUCUUGAACGAGGAAUUCCUAGUAAACGCAGAUCAUCAAUCUGCAUUGAUUACGUCCCUGCCCUUUGUACACACCGCCCGUCGCACCUACCGAUUGGAUGGUCCGGUGAAGCCUCGGGAUUGUGGUUCUUGCCGCUUUAUUGUGGCGUGACCGCGAGAACUUGUCUAAACCUUAUCAUCUAGAGGAAGGUGAAGUCGUAACA
rnacentral:rRNA from 1 species